rnacentral:lncRNA from 1 species
GCCAUGAAUUCAAUCAGCUCUCUUCUAGCUAGUCUUCCAUCCAUCUGAAGGACCAUGUCCUUCCAUCCCUAUGCAACUAAAACAUCCAACAACCUAAGCACGCCUGGCUCCUCCAGGUCUUUUAGCAACACCCCCUUAACUAUCUUCCUCCUGCUAAAAAUAACAAAACGAUCUUGCUCAUGUUUAGAUUCCUCAUCUUUUUCUUCUUCUCCACUCUGCUUUUCAUCUUCUAGUUCAGUAAUUUUUUCACUUGUUUUCCCUUCAUUAUAGACCUAGUUCUUCUAGCAAAUGAAGGUUCAGCAGGUAAUAAUUUUGAAGACUUCUUUGCAAGAGUUUUGGUUCUUUUUGGUUUGACAGUGGGAACCUCCACACUUGUACUUCUCUCUUGAUGGAUCAGUUCCAUAUCCUCAUCCUCAUCUUCAGCAGCCUCAAAACUUUCCACUACUUUUUCUUUUCCCUUUUCCUUCUUCUUUUUCUUACUCUUCUCUAAUGCUUCAUGUAGUUCUACCUCACUUUGCCUUAUUUUGCUCCUUGUGGCUCUUCCUCUAGGUACAGAAAAUGCAGCAGUCAUGGGAGAUGUUACUUUGCUUUUCUUUGAGGGUUUAGAAGCAACUGGGGUCCUUUAUGAAGAAGUCUUGCACUUCUUUGAUUGAUAACUGGCCCCAACUUUUUUUAUUAUAUCUGCUAAGUUCUCCUCCACAGAAGAACCAUGUUCUUCUUGUUGCUUAGUCAUUUGAAAAAGUCCCUCAGCAGCCUCUCCUGAUCCGCUUCCCCCUGACUUUAAGCCACCUUCUUCUCAACCACCACAUAUAGCAAGAACCUCCCAUUUCUUUUUCUUUCUCCUUUUUCUCCUCCUAAUAGCCUUAGACCCUUCAACAUUUUUCACAGAACCCACCAACACAAAUCUACUAUCUUCCUCCUCUGCUACAUCAGAAAAUACAAAAUAAGUGUUUACCUCACUUGGGGUUUCUUGACUAUUGUCAUUGUCAGAAGACCUAGGUUCUCCUCCUUCACUUGCAGAGAUGAACUUUUCAGACUCAUAGCUUGAGUAAGAUUCCUCAGCUGAAACUCUUUCUUUUGACUGGCCUUAAUUUCUCAUUCAAAGCAUUUAUGAGAGAGCCGGAUCCUACAGUUUUUCUGGCUAAGAUAUUUUACCGGCGAAAUCUGGGUUUUUGGGGUUUCAACUGAAAGUGUUGAUGAUGAGGUAUUAGGGGAAACAGGUGGAGGAGUACUAGGAUUGUCUAAAGGAUUGGCGGAGUAUUUCUGGAAAUAUUUUGGGAAUUUUUCUGGAGAAGAAAAGGGAUUAUCAGAAGUAUUGG